rnacentral:rRNA from 1 species
AGGGUGUAAACGCUGCAGACUUGGUGUUGGAGGCCCUUUUGGGGGGCGAUUCAGUGCCGGAGAGAAGUUGUUAAGUCUGCUACUUGGGGAGUACGUCCGCAAGGAUGAAACUUAAAGGAAUUGGCGGGGGAGGCACCGCAACGGGAGGAGCGUGCGGUUUAAUUGGAUUCAACACCGUAAAACUCACCAGGGAAGACUGUUACAUGAAGGCCGAGAUGAAGACUCUGCUAGAUUUUCAGAGAGGAGGUGCAUGGCGUCAGUGACU